rnacentral:rRNA from 1 species
AAGUAAUUAAAUUAAUUGUGUUAAGUAGAGGUUUGUAAUCUUGAAAAAUAGAAUUACAUGGCGGCCUAUCAACUAUAUAGAGAAACAUGCUUUUUAAUGGAUAUUACACAAAAAUCUUUCCUAACCUUGUUAUAACAUUUGGUACACCGCCGUCGAAAGAAUAGUUUAUUAGAACUGUUCUAUAACCUUAUAAUUAAGGUAUAAGUCAGGCCAAGGCACUGAUAAUUGUUAGGUUAAAGUGUGUCUCAUUAUUAUUAUUAUGUCUCAAAAUUACAUUGAUAUGUAAGUUAAAUAACUGAAUCAAGGUAAUAGAAUCUAUAAGUAAAUUUUAUUCAUAAAAUA